AGUGAACGCUGGCGGUAGGCCUAACACAUGCAAGUCGAACGGCAGCACAGUAAGAGCUUGCUCUUACGGGUGGCGAGUGGCGGACGGGUGAGGAAUACAUCGGAAUCUACUUUUUCGUGGGGGAUCACGUAGGGAAACUUAAGCUAAUACCGCAUACGACCUACGGGUGAAAGCAGGGGAUAUUCGGACCUUGCGCGAUUGAAUGAGCCGAUGUCGGAUUAGCUAGUUGGGGGGGUAAAGGCCCACCAAGGCGACGAUCCGUAGCUGGUCUGAGAGGAGGGUAGGCCACACUGGAACUGAGACACGGUCCAGACUCCUACGGGAGGCAGCAGUGGGGAAUAUUGGGCAAUGGGCGCAAGCCUGAUCCAGCCAUACCGCGUGGGUGAAGAAGGCCUUCGGGUUGUAAAGCCCUUUUGUUGGGAAAGAAAAGCAGCAGCUUAAUACCCCGCUGUUCUGACGGUACCCAAAGAAUAAGCACCGGCUAACUUCGUG
rnacentral:rRNA from 1 species